rnacentral:lncRNA from 1 species
UUCGUGUCUCCAGCAAGUUUCAAGUCGUGACCUGCUCACGCAUUUUUCCCCCUUUACUCUCCAAAGUCUCUCUCCCAUUUAUGAGUGUAUUACUCCUAUGGAUUUGCAGUUUCUCCUGAUUUCUUUUACUCUCUGUGGACAUAUAUCCCCACAGAGUAUUAGAUUUUGCAUACAUACAUUUGCAUCAUGAGGUCUCUUAGGGACCAAAAUUCAUCUCUUUG